rnacentral:rRNA from 1 species
GAUGAACGCUGGCGGUGUGCCUAAUACAUGCAAGUCGAGCGAACAGACGAGGAGCUUACUCCUCUGACGUUAGCGGCGGACGGGUGAGUAACACGUGGAUAACCUACCUAUAAGACUGGGAUAACUUCGGGAAACCGGAGCUAAUACCGGAUAACAUGUUGAACCGCAUGGUUCAACAGUGAAAGACGGUCUUGCUGUCACUUAUAGAUGGAUCCGCGUCGCAUUAGCUAGUUGGUAAGGUAACGGCUUAUCAAGGCAACGAUGCGUAGCCGACCUGAGAGGGUGAUCGGCCACACUGGAACUGAGACACGGUCCAGACUCCUACGGGAGGCAGCAGUAGGGAAUCUUCCGCAAUGGGCGAAAGCCUGACGGAGCAACGCCGCGUGAGUGAAGAAGGUCUUCGGAUCGUAAAACUCUGUUAUUAGGGAAGAACAAAUGUGUAAGUAACUAUGCACGUCUUGACGGUACCUAAUCAGAAAGCCACGGCUAACUACGUG